rnacentral:rRNA from 1 species
UACAGAGGUCCCGAGCGUUGUUCGGAUUCACUGGGCGUAAAGGGUGCGUAGGUGGCCUAAAAAGUUUGAUGUGAAAGCUCAGGGCUUAACCCUGAAAUGGCAUUGAAUACUGUUGGGCUGGAGGUUUGGAGGGGGGACUGGAAUUCUUGGUGUAGCAGUGAAAUGCGUAGAUAUCAAGAGGAACACCAGUGGCGAAGGCGAGUCCCUGGACAACACCUGACGCUGAGACGCGAAAGCGUGGGGAGCGAACAGG